UUCCGAAGUAUUCAACAUUAG
rnacentral:piRNA from 1 species